UACAGAGGAGCCAAGCGUUGUCCGGAUUGACUGGGCGUAAAGCGCACGCAGGCGGUCGCGCGCGUGGGGUGUGGAAUCUGGCCGCUUAACGGCCAGGCGCCAUCCCAUACGGCGCGACUGGAGGCUUGCAGAGGUCGGUGGAAUUGCCGGUGUAGUGGUGAAAUGCGCAGAUACCAGGAGGAACACCGGUGGCGAAGGCGCCACUCUGGGCCGAAACUGACGCUGAGGAGCGAAAGCGUGGGUAGCAAACAGG
rnacentral:rRNA from 1 species